UUUCCUCAAAUCCAAUCGCCCAAGACAGCAGGUGCCGUAAGGUAUAAGUCCUGCCGAGGUGAAACAAGUGUCGUGUUUCGACAUGUUUCAUGUAGUCCUGGCGAAAAGCCCGGAUUUUUUAUUAAAGGU
rfam:Candidatus Thrbacteria bacterium RIFOXYB2_FTLL_45_11 rifoxyb2_full_scaffold_807, whole genome shotgun sequence.